CGGCCUUUUGGCUAAGAUCAAGUGUAGUAUCUGUUCUUAUCAGUUUAAUAUCUGAUAUGUGGGCUAUUAGCCCACACGAUAUUAAAUUAAUUUUUUUAGGGUGAAGGUCCGCCAAGGUAGCUUGCUGCCUGGGCCUUCGAGCGUCGCCCAUGCGUUGCACUACAGCACGGGCCUGGCGCAACCCGCCAAACCUAGUUCAAAUCGUUGAUGGGCUUUAUUUUUGAGCCGUUUCCUGUGUUUUAUCUCUAGUGACUAGUAAAUUUAAGGAGGAAUUUGUGGGUCCUUGAGGUUUUCUUAAUGGAACGUGGAAGCCAAUCAAUUGUGGUCAGAACCUGACAAAGGGCAUUAUGGCGCAAAAUGGGCUAUAAUGCUAGUAGAAAGUUUGACGAGUACGAGUAUUGUAUUGUGGGGGAAAAUGCGAAAAGCUACUAGCCUUCAAUGCUCCGAAUGGAGCCAAGGAGAUCAACUUUUAAUUGAAUAUGCAUGCUUUGAUGGGGUACCGUAUGAACAUAGGGCAAGGUGGCUAACUCAGAAUGAGCAGAGUUGGGAACCUCAAUGAUUGGAUGCACAUUACGAAUUGGCGAGCAUCUUGGCACCAAUCAUAGAAUAGGGAAACAUUCAGCCUUUCACGCUAGCGUGCUUCACGGUGAAAAAUAUGCACGGAUCAUGUUUAGACUUGUAAUGGAGAAAGACUUGGCAGUCGAAUGAAGUGAGACAACUGCAACAUGGGCGAAAAACAAUUUUUCUAUGAGACUUGAAGAAUCGUCCCAUUACACGACAACUUCUUGUUAAAGUUUUUGGGCUGUCUCACUAUUAUUCUUGGCCAGUUGGGCCGGUUCUGUUUUUGAUGAACUGCAAGAUUUAGUAAAAUCGUGCUUCUUGAAAUAGCACCUUAUGCCUUUCUUUAAGGGUUAAUAUCUGUUGUCGACGUGGCAACAUCUUUGACCCUUGGAUCAUGACCUUUGGGUUGGACAUUUAUAUACUUGGUCAUGCUUUUUCUUUGACCCAGUGUGAGUGAGACUUCUGGGGUCUUCCGUCUUCGUCUUCUGAGUGCUAGGGUUUUUACUUGAAAAGUUCUGUAAUCAUUCUUUGUGAAGUGCAAUCUCUUUUUCUUUGUGAAUCAGUGAGUGCUUAGUGCAAUCUUUGAGAUUGUAACAUGUGUAGGUUACAGAUCUUGUAAAUAGAGAGGCUGGAGAAAUACCGAAGGAAUCUUCAAUUUCUUCGAACAUUUGUACUAAUUCUUGGUUGAUAUUAGUGGAUCUUGAAUACAAUCUCGUGGUAGAUGCUCAACGGAUGACUAAAUCUAACGAUUGAACAUCCGGGCCCUAUUCUAGGGCAAAAACAUAUUGCUUUGUCUCGUGUUCUUUUAAUUUUUGCAAACUUUAUAAAUCUGUUUUUACAAAUCA
rnacentral:lncRNA from 1 species